GGGUGAAGAGCUUUUUCUAUCUUAUUUAAGGUUUUCCUUUCAAACAGAUUAUACCAGUUGGCAACAAGACUUGGUGUAGGCUGUAUUGUAUAUAAUAUCCUCACUGUUUGCACUUCGGUGUGGAAAGCAAGAAACAGGAGUCCAGUAAGGACUUUAAAGAGGCACUUUUUCAUGUUUUAGACUGCAAAUAAAGUGUGAUUUGGGAGCAGUAAGUUCUGAAAUCUGUUUCUAAGCAUUUGAAACAUUCUCUGCUGAUGCUCUGGGGAGAAAAAAAGGAAAAAAAAAGUAAUCCUGCCUCUUCUGUUUUGUCUUUUGCUGUUGUUCCCUCUGGGCCUCCUUCAGCCAUCAUAUCCCACUGCUGCAUCUUCAUAUCCUUCCUCUUCCUCAGCAGCAGCAUCUGGCUUCCUCUGUCUGCCGGGAAGGAGGAGGAAGACGGGUUCUCUGGAAAAGCUGCUGUGCCAUCAGCUUAGCAAGAACGUGUGCAAAAUGGCUUUCCCUGAACAGCUUUUUUUUUCUUCAUUUUUUCUUUUGUGAAGAAAGACAUAUAAGAAACAAAGGCACACACACUGCUAUAGGUAAUAGAGACAAGAGACUCUCUUGAGGACUUAGCAGUCUCGUUGCAAAAGUAGAGAGUUCACAGCUGCAAAACUUGAAUAAAGAGGAGACUGAACUGGGUUGUAGAGCUCUGUACCUCUCCAGCUCGGCUGUUGCGAAUACCCAAGCUAGCUGUUCACUCUGUAGAGCGGGCAGCUGUGUUGGUUUAUACAAAAUAAAUGGCUUCAGGACAACCAGUGUAAAAAUAAGUGUUCUCAGUCCUCUUCAGUUUGAGAUGAAAAAGAAAACUCAAAACUCCUCAAACAAUAGAGAUUACUGAAACAAAAUGCAGGAAGACCUUCAUCAAACAUGAAAAAGUGCUUGCUUGUCAACCCUGGCUUUUAGUGAGAACUCAGACUUUUUAUUUAGUGACUUAGAUCUCCAGUUUUGAGAUAUUUGACAAUUGCAGCUGGAUUGUAAAUCAGGAAUUGCUCCUUUUAAAUAGACAGAAUGCAGUGUCAAACUGCUACAGAGAUCCCAUUUGCUAUGCCGUUUUCCUCCACUAUAUUGCUCACCUUGCUCACCUUCAUCCAUGCGCUAUAAGCUGAAAGCCCGAGCCCGCAUUCACCUUGAACUAGAGGUGUCUCUGGAGUUUUGUUGCCAGACGGCACGGUGUAGUAGGGGGACAGCAAUUAGAAAGGGCAAAGGGAAGCCUGGACUAGACAAGAUGGCUGGUGUGCUAACGGUGCAAACACUCCCUCUUUUGAGCAUCUCUGAUUGACAAGAAUCUGGAACUGGACAGAGCUAACAUCUGGAACGUUAGAGCUGCAACAUGUGAAGUGACUGUGUCUUUUGGCAAGGGCCAUAGAGUAUGAAGGAGACGGACCACAGCACUAGAAACAGAGUCUAAUUACAACAUAAGCAAAAGAAAACAAAGUUAAUCCCCCAAAGCCGAAGUUAUUCCUAAAGCAAUAAACUGCACAUCAAAAAGUAACCUCCCCAGGACUAAGGCCUGCAACAAGUGCUGUUUAUAGAAGAUGGACAGAAAUCUGAAACACGAAUACCAUAACCACCACUUAAGAAUUUGAGGUAUGAAUCUUUACAUUUGGAAGAAAGCUAUUAUCUUUCUGUUGUGAAUCUUUUUUGGUUG